GACAGAGGGGGCAAGCGUUGUCCGGAUUUAUUGGGCGUAAAGAGCUCGUAGGCGGUUUGGCAAGUCGGGUGUGAAAACUCCGGGCUCAACCCGGAGACGCCACUCGAUACUGCUAUGACUUGAGUCCGGUAGGGGAGUGCGGAAUUCCUGGUGUAGCGGUGAAAUGCGCAGAUAUCAGGAGGAACACCGGUGGCGAAGGCGGUUCUCUGGGCAUGUCCUGACGCUGAGGAGCGAAAGUGUGGGGAGCGAACAGG
rnacentral:rRNA from 1 species